rnacentral:rRNA from 1 species
GAUGAACGCUGGCGGCGUGCCUAAUACAUGCAAGUCGAGCGAACAGACGAGGAGCUUGCUCCUCUGACGUUAGCGGCGGACGGGUGAGUAGCACGUGGAUAACCUACCUAUAAGACUGGGAUAACUUCGGGAAACCGGAGCUAAUACCGGAUAACAUGUUGAACCGCAUGGUUCAACAGUGAAAGACGGUCUUGCUGUCACUUAUAGAUGGAUCCGCGCCGCAUUAGCUAGUUGGUAAGGUAACGGCUUACCAAGGCAACGAUGCGUAGCCGACCUGAGAGGGGGAUCGGCCACACUGGAACUGAGACACGGUCCAUACUCCUACGGUAGGCAGCAGUAGGGAAUCUUCCGCAAUAGGCGAAAGCCUGACGGAGCAACGCCGCGUGAGUGAAGAAGGUCUUCGGAUCGGAAAACUCUGUUAUGAGUGAAGAACAAAUGUGUAAGUAACUAUGCACGUCUUGACGGUACCGAAUCAGAAAGCCACGGCUAACUACGUG